UUUUUUUCAUCAUUUAGACUCUACUCCGCCCUUAAGUAUUUGCUGCCGUGUCCUGAAUCAGUUGCAUCGAUAUCCUAUAGAAGUAUCAUUUUACAUUUCGAUAACAUUUCUAGCAAGUUUUAUAGUAAAAUUGCUUCAUUAGUUCGCCGCUUUCAUUAUUAUACCACUACCGCUGCAGCUUAAGUCAACUUUUAAUGAGCCGAACUCCGAUGGUCACCCGAUUCAUCGAUUGAUGGUGUGGUGGCGCUCAUGCAUAUUCCACGACUGCAUUUGACACUACUAUUCUGUAAAUGUGGGUGUGUAAUGUCUCGUGUUCGCAUAGGACGGGGGCCAUUUAAUUGACUGUAAAUAUGGAAAAGUAAGAUCUAUGCGCAUGCAUAUAUGCGUGUCUGUACUUUCGAUCACUUUAGUGUAUAUAGUUAUUACAUAUGGACAGGGGUUUGAGAGACAGCGGAAAAAAUGGAUUAGUAUAAGCGUAUUUUCUUGGCUGAAUUCACCAUAGUUCGGUCUUUUUCCUCUCUGCUCUUUUCCUUUAGUCUUUUUAUUUAUUUAUUUCUUAACCCACGGGUAUUGGCUUUCUGCGCGAUCCAAUUGUACCAAAAAGAAUAGUGUAAUUAGGCACAGUGAAAAGUCGGGCUCUUUGGCCUCAGUUAUGAGUGACUUAUCAACCAAUAUUUGUUUUGAUGCAUUAUCUGUACUAAGUGGCAAUGUGCAAUUAGUCGAAAAUGUAUGCAGCAUCUGUGGAGCAUCGCACUACACCCAAAAUUGUCCAGAGUUUGCCAAGGGAGAUCAUAUCAAAGAUAAGCCCUCACUUAACCUGUCAAGGUCAUCCGUACCCAAUGGGCUCCUGAUAAUGGAUGCUGCCGACGGGUCCAGCUGUGUGGUGACGUCCCAAAAGUUUGCAAAAGGAACACGCUUCGGACCGCUGUUGGCACAGAAAUCUUACGCACCGAUCAAGAACAUCCCAUUUCCGCUGGUGCUGUUCGCGACCCCAUUCUACUAUGGCAACGAGUUCGAUUUCGAUCUUCAAACGCUGUUCAACGGGCGGAACGUGUAUCUGGAUACCAGGAACGAAAGCAAGUGCAACUGGAUGAUCCACGUUAGUCUGGCACGGUUCUCCAACGAGCAGAAUCUGAUCUGCUAUCAGGAAAAUGACGAGAUAUACUACACGGCUGUCAAGGACAUCGAACUGGGCGAUAUUCUGCGGGUUUGGUAUUCCCAAAGUUACGCGGCUAAAAUUGGUGCCACACUGCUGGAACCAAGUCCCUACGAUAUCUGCAACAACAUUCUUCGGUCAGUCAGUCUCGAUUAUGGACUCAAUCUCGAUCAGAAUCAGAACUACGUCGAAGGCUUUCCGUCUACGUCGGGUGUGCAUUCGUCGCCGGCUGCUCUCGCGAUGGGCGGCAGCGAUUUGAACAACAAUAGCAACAUGGGAUCGAUUUCAUCCGGGGAUGUGGUUUCCAGCUACGAUAAGAUUUCUCUACCACCGAUAGAUAGCCUUAUGAAAACCACGUCACCAAAAUACAUUAACCACUACCACAUGUUCGAUAUCGAUUUAAUCACCCAGCACGGAGCGCCUGCGCAACAGCAACAACCGUGCGAUGACUACGGACAAUUUAAUCCACCUUCGCAAAUGCAUCAUUCUAGUCAGCAUCAGCAGUCUUCAUCACAGGGGCAAAUUCAAAAUCAUCAAAAUGCAGAUAUGCAACAGCAACACUCAUUGCACCAGCAGAUGGUGCACUCAACUUAUCCCAGUUAUCAGACACUUCCGGAAGACACUCUUAGUCCGGCUGAUUUAAUUAAUAUCUCCCUUGGAGCCAGCGAUAUGAAUAUUUCCUUCGAUUCUUUCGGUACCAGUAAUCUGAUCGGAUACGAUGGUGGUAGUAGCAGUGGUAGCAAUUUGGGAGACUCCGGUAUCAGUGUUAGUGGUGGGCAGGGAUUGGAAAAAUUGCACAGUCGGUAUUCGUCGUCGACGGAUUCGUUGGUAACACUGAAUGAAAGUUUGAACAUGGUCCCAUCGGUAACGUCGGCACCUUCCACAUCCAAUACUGUGGUCACGCCUGCAGCUGAUCCGGAGACGGAUAAAAAAUAUCCAUGCGAGAUUUGUCUGCGGAAGUAUAUGACUAAGUCAAACCUGGACAAGCACAUGCGAAAGCACAAUCUGUUUUUGUGUGUAUUUUGCAUGAAGUUAUUCCAAAUGGCAGAAGAGUUGAAGGAUCACGAAUGCACCGAACGCAAAUCCAAGACAGCUUACCUGCAUUGUCCCCAAUGUUUGAAAGUUCUAUCCAACUCAUGGUCACUGCAGCGGCACAUGAAGAUUCACAAGGACCCAAACGAGUCGGUGUUGAGUGUUUCGGUGGCGGAAGAUUCGGUUGACAAAGUUUUAGUUGAAUCGAAAGAGCAGCCGGUUUUCGAAGAAAUCGAACCGACUCCUCUGGACGAGUUGAAACCAAGUAUCGAACCUAUUGCGGCAAACAGCGAACCUUUGCUCCUAGCCGACGAGAGCAGUGACAUUAUGAUGGAAACAGAGCCAAUGCAGCUACAGGAAAUCGAUGUAGAACCAGAACUCGACUACAUGCACCAUCAGCAGCAGCAGCAGCAACAGCAGUUACCGUCACUGACCUCUGCGUUGCCCGGCAUUCCUUCUAUUUCGAUAACGAACACUUGUUCCAGUCAGGACAUGAUUACUGACGUGCAUGCGGCUAACGGAAAGCAACUGUACAAGUGUAUUGUGUGUGCUAAACUGUUCAAAAAUCCCAACGCAUUAGAGAAGCAUUUGAGAAAAGUUCACACCGUUUAUACGGUUUCGAAUGAUCACAAAACAGAGAAAAAAGUUAUUACCCAGAUAAGUCAGAAAAAAACUUCGCCGAUAAAACCAGCCAUUGCAAAAGCGUUGGCCACAAAGCUAACCCAGAAAAACAAGAAACUGGAAGAAACGACCGCAACUACCAGCCCGAAUCAGAGUCCGAACGUAGCGCUGGUUCCAGAGCAACCGAUCCAUGUGCCACGUCAAUAUAACAAGAAAAAACAUCCGAACAAAACAAUUACGUCGACAAUCAAUCCACCGGUCACCAUGCAGGUUGCUUCGUCAGCAGCUUCCACAAUUGUCAGCAGCAGUACGUCAUCACCGAAUGGUAACAAUUCCAGCAAACCUCACAGCAUCAUCAUAAUCUCGAAUCUCGAGCUGACCAACAACAACCUGAUUGAUACUAGUCAACUGUUUUUGAACCAAAACAGUAACGCUCUAGGCAAUAAGAUAGAUCUUAAAGUAUUAAACUCAACCGACAAGUUACCAAAGCUGGUACCGAUAUCUAAUCACGGCUCACACCACAAUCACCAGCAAUCGCAAACGGCACUACUUCCUGCAGCGAUUCUUCCAUCAGCGUCCGGUGCUCCCCAGGCGGUUCCUACCGGGAGCCAAUUUCAAGUUUCUCCAAUCACAUCGCUUCACCAGCCCAAUACGGUUCUAUCAACAGCAGGAUCAAACAACUCCGGCCUACUGGACGGUAUCUCAAGCACCCACAGUCUCAACGCAAUCGUUGACAACAGUGACCGCGUGGACGAGUCUAAUCACAUGUUCAAUGAUGCUUCCGUCGGGGGCGAAUCACAUUUGUUGACCCUUUCUCCGAUUAAGGUCGGCGGUCAGAACAACAGUGAAGGGCAACAGCUAAUUUCUGUGUCCGGAGAACGAGCAGUCGAAGCGAUCAGCAACAGUUUCCUCAGCCCAGAUGAGCUCUCCGCGGAUGCUAACGACAGUAACCAUUGUAACGAUGGCGAUAGCGAUAGCGCACAACUAACCCAGACAAGCUAUCCAUGCGAUGAGUGCGAUAAGGUGUUUCCAAAGAACUACCAACUCAAACGCCACAUGGAAAUCCACGACAGCACCUACUACAUGUGUCCGUACUGUGACCGAUCGCCGCUGAAGGCAAAAACGUCGGUACGUAAACAUCUCAACACGAUCCAUCCGGAACGGGCACCUCCGAAGGAGGAGAUGAACAAAUUUAUCUCCACGCUGGUGGUGAAAGACGAGGAAAUAUUACGAGAGUUGUACGCUAAAAACGAGCGAAAGAUCAGAAACAAGUGUGCCAAGUUGCAAGCAAAGCAGCUUCAACAGCAGCAGCAGCAGCAGCAGCAACAACAGCAACAACAAAAUCAACACACUGUUUUGGAAAAUUGUGUCACGAUGGUUGAACAGCAAUCACGCGUAAUGCAACAGGACACGGGCACCGAGAUGACACACAGAGUCACACCGGAUGAGAUGCUGAACAGCUACCAGAAUGAGCAGCGUAGUAGCGAGCGAGAAGGAGGAAGUGAAGAACGAAAGAGCAGUACAAAUGGUAGCAAUGAGAUUAGGAAUGACGAGAGCAAUGGCUUGAAACGAAAGCCAAUCGACUGUGCCAAUGCUGUAGGAGCAACUGAACGGCGAAUCAAUGCAGGAGACGAAGGUAAGAAAAUACGGCUUGUGGAUGCGCAUGGACAGGAAGUGCGUUACGUCACAGCAUCUGCGGCCAGCAAUGGAGCAUUAAAGUACAUGAGGAAGAAAUCGAUUGGUGUGGGUGAGGGAAGCAGUACCGGUGGCCAUCCAAUGCAUCCACCGGGGGGCAGUGGUGGACACAGCAACGGGACGCACAGUUCGACAGUUGAUAACCAGAUGAUACUGGACAAUUUGUUCGAUACCAUUUCGAUUGAAAACUACGAAUUCGAUGACAAUACAUCGAUCCAGUCGUACAAUCUGAUCGAAGAGCGGUUCAAAACAUCGUUCGAUCAGAUCCAAGAGAAGCUAGACGCUGAGCUGUCGUUUGACGAGGAGCAGCUGAAAUGGCAGAAUAACCUAAUGACGAAUGAUUCAUCGAAUGAGAUCGGCGAUAAGCUGCUUAACGUAGAGGAGAAUAUUAUGCUGAUAUAAGGGAACGAACUGACAGGAGGGAAGAUGGGAAAUGGGAUUGCAUGGAUGAAGGGAGCGUUCCGGGAGACGAUGAUGCGCGAUCGACAGAAUGUGCGCGUGGUUUAGAUGUUGUUUUCGUUCGUACAUUCUGCAUGUUUAUUUGCUGUAGCAUAAUUUUUUCCUCUAGCAAUUAAGUGCAACACUCAAAUGCUUUUCUGUUCCGUUUCCCGGCGUUUUCGUUUGUUUUUUUUUUGUUGUAGACUUAUUUAUUACGUAUAUUUAUUAUAGAAACUAUGUGUGUGUGCAUGCAAGUACGCGAUAACGCGCGUACGCUCUAUUGCUAUUUAGGGAUAACUUGUUUACCUAUUGAAAACUGAAAACAAGCACAAAAUGCUAAGAUAAGUUAUAUUUAUCUGCGUAUAUUUCAACAAAUAAUUUUCAUCGUUAGGUUGACAGUUUUAUAACUCUAUAGUGGCAGAUUUUAAGCUUAGAGAAUACACCCAUUAGGGACAAAAUUGAGGCACAAGUUCAGUAACUAUUGAAGCUACCGUUAACGAUUUCGAAUAGCAUGAAUAUUUUUUAACAAAAGCAGCGGGAUCUGCAGAGACUUCCUACAUGUGUUUGACGAUUAAAUAUGUUGCUAGUCAUUUGAUUGAUUUUCAUUGGUGAUCCGCUGCAAUGAAUGCAAUCGCUGGAAUGGAGGAAGGCGUUGAGUUCAGAAGAUUUGUGGAGGCGCAUGGUUGUUUAUUUUUUUUGUUGUUGAUCACGUUCAUAUGUAUCGUAGUGUUCUGUCGCAUUUUGGUUAUUAUAUGAUAAAAAAUUUCACGAAUUUUUAGAAUUAGAAUCGAAAAAUCUUCGUACGUAGAGACUCGUUUUUUAGAACUCACAACUUAGCUCACUGGGAAAAAUAAUUGAGACCUCACAUUUUUAUGAGUCAUGGACUAAGUAGAGUACUUUAAGAUAGGAUUUGGACACUUUUUUGUCAAAUGCUGAUCCCGUAAAAGAUCGUGACACAACGUUGAAUCGAUACGGCUCAACAUCUAACCAAUCGAUCAAAACUGGCUUAGGUCCAAUGUUGAACGGCUCGGAAACAAUUUUUUCGAAUGUCUAACAGGGGCUUUAGCUUAGUUUAGUUUGUUUAAUCCGUACACAUAAUACAAAUCCUCGUUGUUGUGACGGAGAAUAAAUUGCAAACUGGUUGAAAGUUUGAACCGUGAUUCCUCCCCAAUGUGAUAUAAACAGGUGGGGCAGACCACAUGGCAUGCUUGCGUUGGUAACCAAAAAUUUGUAAAUAGUUCGGUAUGACGACAUACAUUAAAAAUAAACUUGCCCGAACGAUGUGACGACAGCAAGCACGUGGUUUUUAGUUUUACUUGGCUUGCUGAAGCAAAGUCAUUUUCACUAACAGAAAAGAGUUGUGUUUGCCCCACCUGUUUCUACCACAUUGAUUCCUCCCCACUUGUCGCACAUAAAGAUCUGUUUAAAUUUUUAUUCGGUGUUUUGUUCAAAACCGGCACAGUUCCGUGCACGGACGCAAAUAUUCUUCCAAACGAUUCAAUGCGUGUAUUCACAUUUGUCCGGUACCGUUUCGUAUCGGCAUUAAGCCGUACAAGGCUCGACAAUAAUGUGUCAGAAAUCUGUGUAAAUUUUAAAUUUGCUGUACGGUGGAAAUAAGGAACUCACCACUGCCACCUUUUUGACUGUUCGUCUCGAUCUUUCAAAACGUUUCGGAACGAUAAAGUUCUCAUGCCUUUUACCCCAGAUAACAAAUAACAAAGGUUUUUGAAUUAGCCUGGCGAACACUUGCAGAUGUCGCCACGAUCGACACUAUUUUGGGUGCCACAUUUACAGCCGAAUCAAAAUUCAACUGAAUCGACAUUAACAAGAAAAUUUGAACGACCAUAACUCUGACUAAUGCUCCCAUAAAAAAACAAAUAGUGCCUGCCAAAAAUAUCUGGCGACAUUUGGUCAGAAUUCCGGCUAGAGCUUGGUAAUAAUGCAAUUCACGUAACGGUUAUCAUCGGUUCUGGAUUCUUGCCAUACAAGACUACAAACAAUCGAGUUAAGAAAUACUAAAUCUAUCCCACAUUGUCUCCAGAGAUUCCACCAGCCAAAUUCACAAAAUUUCUUUAAAUUCAAGAAGAAAUUCUUUGAUAUUUGAGAAAGAAAAAAGAAAUCAAAAUCUCUUCAACGAUUUAUUUUAGUCUUGUCUUGUCAAAAUGAACUAUGAAAUGAAAACUGCGGAAAAGCUAUCGGAAGACAGGACUCGAACCUGAAGCUUAUUUCAUCCGGGGAAAUCGUUUUUCCAAUUAAACUACCCUGCAUGUGAAACACACGUAGAAACAGCCUGAAUAAAUAGAAGAAUGCGAAUGAAAUGAGACUUGCGAUGUGUAGUGAUUGCUUGCGGAGGGCUUGAGUUUGAUUAUAAUUGAACUGUGUGGCGCCCGAGCACAGCGAAGCAUACUCGGUUCUUCGGUUCAAUUAGGUUGUUUCUUCAUGUGUUUCACAUGUUGGGUAGUUUAGUUGGCAAAACGAUUUCGCCGGGUAGGAUCCAACUACGGGCCUGAAUUAAAUGCAUCAAGACUAUCCAGUGUAGCAGUAUGCAGUAUUUAUUGGAAAAAAGGUACACCCACUUCUCACUGGCAGUGUUCUCAGUAUCUCCGUACAGUGGAAAAUCUAGGACGUCUUCAUGUAUGCUACGGGUUUGAGUAGCUUUUUUUUCGCAUUUCUUAGUUGUAUUCGCAUACCGGAUGUCAACUUUGAAAAGCUUUUGCGAAAGCCCAAAUGUUUGGCGAAUGUACGAUUUCUCUCCGUUUCCUGGCCUACCCAAAACUAGGCAAAUUUAUCUCAGUUAGGUACAUUUACCGAAGCCGCACUAGGUUAUUGUUCUUGCGCCCGGCUAACGGCUAAGUGUGCAAACUUUAUCUGUAUUGCUUUUAUUGGGGAUCAUAGGAUAUAUUGUUUUUUUUUUUUAUCUAGAGGAAACUAUCCAAGCCAUCCAGCAUGAAGCCACAUUUUCUCUUUGAUUGCAAUCAAUUUUAUCUCUUUUUUGUCGAUUUUUUGAAAUAACACGAACAACAAAAAAAAUUUAGGUUGAAAAUAAGGUCUACUAUCGCCUCCUAUCUAGAGUAACAUUGAUUUAUCAGUCACCAUGUAUAUGUAUCCGAAAAAUUAGAGGUUUCAGUUCAACAAAUUCUAUAUAAAAAUAUUUUCAUUCCAAAUUUGGAAGAUAUUCCAAAAAAGAUGAAAUUCUAGAUCGGAAAAGAAGUAGAAGAAUCAAGAAACGUAAUGUUAGUUCAGUUCGCUUUUUAUCACUUAAUUGGGACGGAUUUCCCAAUUGUUUGGGUUGGCGACGAAAUUCAUUCGGAACCGUUUGUUGCACCGGAGUUUGUAUUGAUUUGGAAUUCAUACUGAAUCUCAAGUGAAAUGUUUUCGUUCAUUCGGAAUUUCCACCUCGGAACCAUCGCUGUCCCGAUAACAAUUUUAUUUGGAGGAAAAAGAUAAUGAAUUUGGCUUUCCAACAUUUCAAAUCAUACAAAUCAGCUCUUAUAUCUGAUGCUACAGUCGUAUCUGAGUACUAGUCUUACCGUAUUUUUCUCACAUUGUUUGGAGUGUACAUAACUAACUAUGGAUCUAAUUACCGGAAACCCAACGCGGUGUUAGAUAUGCACAUUGUUUUGUCGAUGUGGGUUGGUUCUUUCGCUAACAACAAUGUUUCAGUCAAUGAGUGAUUAUUAGUGGACUUAUGACCCUCGAACGAAUCAAAAUUAAAUUUUGUUCAAACCAUCUUGCUUUCAAGUCUUUCAGCAUGGCUCGACAUAAAAUCCUAAAAAGUUUAAAGUUUCACAACCAGGCAUGGCAAAAACACGGAUCCGUUCGGCACGGUACUCCCCUUCACUCGUGAACACACCACCGAAAGUAUUGAAUGCAACGCUUCGUGCCCGUGUUGAAAAAAGUACGGGUGUGUAAUGUCAGAGACAUAACUGGAUGUCGUGAAUACGAAUAAAACUGACACAAUUUCUUUACACUUUCGAAUUCGAAUUGAUAGUUGAUUGAUUGUGUGAAUUGCGAAACUUUCCCCCUUUUCACUACUAAAAUUUUCAACGAUUUUUGACGUCGAUUAUCUCAUUUCGGAUUUGCAUAUUUCAUUGAAAGAAACUAUCAAGGUGCUGUACAGGAUUCAUUUCUGCCUUUUAGAAGGACCAAAUUGUGGAAUUCUCUACGAUAUUUAGCAUAGUUCGGAACAUUUAUCUCGAACGAUUUUCGCACAGCGAAAAGUGCACGAAGCAAAUCAAAUUAUUUUCGAUUUUUACUAAACUGAUGAUUUCUACCUUCGAUUUGCAAAGAAGUAAUCUUAAUAGUUCUUUAGAUAACAUUUAGAGCCAUUAGAACGGCUAAUUUUAUAUAAUGCUGUCCACUUUUCGUUUCUUGUUUUCUUUCUCUCCGAUGCAAAGCACCAGCAGCUGAUACAAUCGUUCUUGCUUGAAUUGAAACUAGCUUUGCGUACAAAAAGACACAUCCGCUCGCAGUGCCAAAUGAUGCGAAACUGGUUUAAUGCGUCUUUUCGCCUUGACGACCGGUAGGCAAAUGAGAACUACGACCUGAGCGUUUAAGAUUUUUAACCACGCAGAAAAUACGCUCUCAGAUGCCGCUGUUGGAAUGCGUCUUCUCGUCCCGACGUCUGCUUCCAUCCAACGCACAAGAAGAAAUGAUCGAUUUUCGACCACGGUUCCCCUUUUAUAACGUUUAGUUGAAGAUAUGUGCCUGACUACCUCAAAAUCGUCAUCCUUGCGCGAAAAACCCAAGCAAAAGUAAAGAGUUUUCCGCGUUGUUUUAAAAUUUUCUGAAAACUUAAUUUUUGAGUUGUUUGUGGUUAUCUCACACAGUUCAAAAUAUUAUCCUAAAUUUCUGAUCAUAUUUUUGAUGAAAUAGUAAAAGAAUUAUGUUGCUGCCAUUAAUACAAGUCGAGAUAUUCACGAUUAAGUUCUGCCCAUUCUUCCAAAUGACUAAUUUUGAAAAGGCACCCCAUAGUAAAGUAAGUCGUAUUCACGACAAAACAAGCACCGAACGCAGUAGAAAAAGCACCCGUAGCGGUGGUCGUGUAAUUGCCAAACACUGGUGCUUAGAUUUUCGGGCAGCACUGAAAUCGAGUGUUCCUGACUUCGGCUAACACCGAAGCCGAGUGUUUCCGAUUUUGCCAUAUACGUUGCUUGUACUAUAACAAACGGUUUUGAGAAUUUUACUCCUUUCUACAAUGCCACGUACUGAAAUUGAAAUUGUUCCACUUACUUCCUGUAAUUCCGGAUCCGGAUGAAAUUCGCAGGAAUUUUUCAUGAAACUAUAAAACCUUUCAUUUCGAAAAGAUCGGUCCAGCCAACUCUGAGAAAAUCGAGCUCAUAUUUUUUUUUCAUUUCAUUGCCCACCACUCUGUAACUCGGGAAUCGGAAGGUGGAUCUAGAUGAAAUUCAAUAGCAGGACUAAGGGACUGAACCACUGAUCAAUGCCAACUAAGAUUGUGAAAAUCGGUUCAGUCAUCUCCGAGCAAAGUGAGUGCACAUUUCAGUCAUUCAGCCAAUUGAGUGCACAUUUUUUGUCACAUACAUACCAGCAUCAAUGAAACUAGAGUCCGCAUUAAUUUGCAAUUUAUUAGUUUCACAUGAAAUACCGGAUGAAAAUUCUGCGUCCAUUUGAAUUUUAUUCGAAAUUCAUUCAGGAUAUAUGGGGAGAUGCGGCGGCGUUGUUAUCAACAAUGUAUUAAGCUAUGUUUAUACCGUAUAGUUUGCAACUGAAUAUUUUCGCGACUUUUGUUGCAAACUUGCAAAUAUACCUUCGACUUUUGUUGCAAACCAGGCAGCAAUAAAUUGUCGAAACUGGAGUACAAUUUUCAAAUAGGAAAAAAACUAUUUUUGCGAUUACCAAAAAAUACCACCGGUAUUUAUUUAUUUAACAACUGGUGGUCCAGUUGUUAGGAAAAAUAGAGAUUUCGAUCAAGAGGCACUCAGCACUUGUCACACAAGGAAAGAUGUUUCUGGUGUUUUCCAUUUGCUGUAAAACGCCGGUGCAUUAACUGUUUGAAAUAAUAAAUUGUGCGAUUUGUGUUGUUUCGUGUUCUGGUCCGAACAUAAUUCGAAGUUUGAAAGGGUCUCAAUUAUUCAACAUUUAGCACAUAAAAGUCAUUUCCAUUUUUCUCAGCAAACGACAAACGUAAAUUUUUAGUUAAUACGGCGUCCGGAGUUUAAUAACAACAACCGAUUUAUUUCUUGUAGGUGAAUAUUUCAUUUUUUUUUCAACAUUUUAACUAAUCAGAAAAGAGUCUUAGAGUUGACGAAAAAAUUUAACCAACGAUGCGUUAACACUCAAUAAACAACUACCAGGCGCGAUUGCAACCAUAUUAAUUAUUGAACUACUCAAAUUCCAUUAUGGCUCCCAUUGUUUUCCUGAGCCGUUGUAAUUCUGUUGUGUAUUUACGUAACACAAUCUAUCCACAUUAUGGAACAUAAAUACAAAAUCAUAAUACUUUUCUGAAUUGAAUGAUUAUAGAACAGUUUUAGGACACUGCGUAGAAGUAAUUGAUCUGAAAUGACUUUCUGAAAGCAGUGUAAUUUUUCUUUUGAUAUAUGCAUCAUACAUGCUUUAACCGCCACAUUGCGCUGCAAAUCAAACCAUAUUUACUUAAUCGAAAUUUCAACCACUGACAGUUAAUCGAAUUUAUUAUCAGUACAGCAAUUACGUAUAUAGCAAAAACAAAACAUAGGUAAACAAAGAUUCUCAAUCGAAGAGGCAGCUUUGAAGCAAACUAGUGCAAAACUAUCAUGAAACGGAAAGGGGAAGAUAAAAAAGAUAAAACACAAGUGCCAUUUUGCCAAGCGAAACCAGAAUGCAAUCAUUGUGCCUUUUGAAAGCCAAAUAAACCCAUAACGGACAAGAGUUUAUAUGCACCGAUGUUGAGCUAUAUUUUUUUUCUAGUGUGUAAGGUAAUCGAAUCUCCCGGCACAGGUUUUUUUUUCCGCUAAACCUUGAACAAGAGCAUAAUGCUAUACAGCAAGAAGCAUAAACCCAAACAUGUUUAUCAGCGGGCUAGGAGGUUAUGUUUAGGAAGCAGAGACCAAAGGUGAAUUGAUUUUACUAUGUACCGUAUGCAAAUUAUAUUAUUAUAUUGUUUUUUUUUCAUAAACCUUAAGACUUAGGCUAAACGUGAGAGAUAUUUCGCGAGAAAGAUUAGGCAAUACAUACAACCAUAUUUACCAAUCGUGUUUUUUUUUUGUUUUACAGAAGUAAGUUUGAUAAAAUACUUACCAAUAGAUGUUAUAGUUUCCUGUUUUUAUAAUAUUUAUUAUCUAGAGAGUCAUUUUGCAGAUGCUGUCUCUCACGCGAAGCAAAACUUCAUAUACAUUCAAGUAAUAAAAAUCAAAACAACCACUAAAAACAUGCGUCAAUCAGUCCAAAGUUUAGGUCAAAAUGGGCCCGAGAUAUUGAAUAAAAAUUCGAAUAAAAAGCCCAGAUCGUACAGAAAGAAAGAAGAAAGAUUAUGUAUUUUUACCAUAAUUUACUUAAAUUGUAUACCAUAAAAAAACUAGUGCCUAAGCAAGGAAGAUUUAUAUAGUCGCGUAUGGGAACUGCGCUACGUGCAAAUACAAUUUGUGUAACUUUUCCCUUAAAACCAACUCGUAAAUGAAGCUUUUUCCUUGGUUCAUUUUUUUCUCCUGUGCAAGAUACAUACGAUAAUUUAUCGAAAUAAAAGUUAUAA